rnacentral:rRNA from 1 species
AGAUAACGCUGGCGGCGCACAUAAGACAUGCAAGUCGAACGGACAGAAGCCUUAGUUUACUAUGGUGGAAGUUAGUGGCGGACUGGUGAGUAACACGUAAGCAAUCUGCCUAUCAGAGGGGAACAACAGUUAGAAAUGACUGCUAAUACCGCAUAUGCCUAAGUAACACAUGUUACAAUAGGGAAAGGAGCAAUCCGCUGAUAGAUGAGCUUGCGUCUGAUUAGAUAGUUGGUGGGGUAACGGCCUACCAAGUCGACGAUCAGUAGCCGGACUGAGAGGUUGAACGGCCACAUUGGGACUGAGAUACGGCCCAGACUCCUACGGGAGGCAGCAGUCGGGAAUAUUGCGCAAUGGAGGAAACUCUGACGCAGUGACGCCGCGUGCAGGAAGAAGGUUUUCGGAUUGUAAACUGCUUUAGACAGGGAAGAAACAAGACAGUACCUGUAGAAUAAGCUCCGGCUAACUACGUG